rnacentral:rRNA from 1 species
UACAGAGGGGGCAAGCGUUGUUCGGAAUUACUGGGCGUAAAGGGCGCGUAGGCGCCUUCUAAGUCGAACGUGAAAUCCCCGGGCUCAACCCGGGAACUGCGUCCGAUACUGGAAGGCUUGAAUUCGGGAGAGGGAUGCGGAAUUCCAGGUGUAGCGGUGAAAUGCGUAGAUAUCUGGAGGAACACCGGUGGCGAAGGCGGCAAUCCUGGACCGGCAUUGACGCUGAGGCGCGAAAGCUAGGGUAGCAAACGGG